UUUUUCAAAAUAUUUUAUUAAUGGUUUUUAUAAAAAGGAGGAGUAAAAUUUAAUAUUUUAUUCCAGUUUGAUAUAUUGGAAAAAAAUAAAAAUAUUUGUUUAAAUAUUUUCCUGGUCAUCGGGGUGGGAAAAUAUCUGUUGAUCGUGCAAUUAUCUGUUACGAGAUUUAAUUGAUCUAUUUGUAUACGAUUAUGUUUGUGCGUGCAUUUAUUCCUGCUUUUGAUAUUAUUAUACAGUUUUAUUAAAAUUUAUUAUCCUCUUAAAUGGAUAUUUAUUUUUGUAAAAAUACAAAGAUAAUUUCAAAAAUUAUUUUUAAUUGCUCGAUAGUGAUCACAAAUAUUUUUAGGAGUUUGUAAAAUAUUAAAAAUCUUAUUUCUAUAAGGACAUGAUUUUUAAUUAGUUUCUGAACGCAGCUAACUUCUAAAUUUUGUAUAAAUUCCGAAAAUGCUCUAUAAAUCCGGAAACUUUUAUUUGAUUAGUUUUAUAAUAUUCCGGGGUUUAUAAAAAUAUUUUGGUAGUUGUUGGGAGAAAUUUUAUUGCAAGUAAUCUCCGUAAAUUAGUUGAAAGCGGGUAGAAGUUAAUUGCUUACUCAGUUUAAUAAAAUAGUUGGCAGCUUAAAAUUUAUCCGCGUGUCUCCACACUUCUCUUCCUUCAGCCACGUAUACACCCCUGUGAACCCUUUUCCUUUUAUUCCCUGUGAAACCUCAUCUCUCUCGUUAAAUCACAGUAAUCGGUUCUCUCGCAAAUAUCUCCCCAAUCUCACGCCAUUCCUUCGGUCUCUCGCUACCAUCUCCCUAUACACUUCCCUCCAUCUCUCGCCUUUGUACGUACGGUCGCCAUAUUCCAUCGGGAUUCUCUGCCGCCGCUUCCUUUUCCGGCCAGAACCAACACCGCCUAUUUCUUCCUCUUCCGGCGACCACCAUAGCCCUGCACCAGUUAUAAAUCAGUGGUUAACUCCGUCUGCGUCGACAACUGAAGUACCGUGUUACUCUUGGAAAAUCAACCAAGACUUGUAUAUCAAGAACAUUCAGAAGUAGUUGAAUAGCUUUGCGAACUGAAUCAGGUAUAGUUCCUUAAGACGAAGCUGUGCUGUGAGAUAGCCCGGUAGAAUUAAAUCGGUAUGAACAUCAGCAGAACUGAGGCAAUGUUAAAGAUGAUUCAUCUGUCUAGGCUGAGCGUAAGAGUAAUGCUAGGCAAGGAUUCCAAGUGAUAAGUUGUGACUGAAUGACUAGGUAAAGUAUUCAGGAAGAUGUCUGCGAGAUUAGUGGUAAUUAGAGUUGGCUUAAUUUUGCUUCAAAUGUAAAAUAAAUUUAUUAAAUAUUAUCAGCUACUCUGAUAAUUUAGAUUGGGUUGUAAUAAGAUUUAUUAGUUUUGAUUCUGAUUUCAAUACUAUAGCCUGUUUGCGAUCCUGUUUAAAGGGGGUUAAACUUUGUUCUUUUAAAUCUUUUAUUAAAACUUUCAGGUUUUAAAUUCUUUGAUUUAUAUUAGCUUUUCAAAAAUACAGGUUUUCAAAACUGUAAAUCAUUUUUUUUUUAUAUCCAGGUUUUGAAAUACUUGUUUUUACUUUCUCUCAAAGAUACAAGUUUUAAAUUGUUUUUUUUUUAGUGGCUCAAAAAUACAGGUUUUAAAUUAUUUUUAUUUACACGUGGCACCAAAUCCAGACCCCCGGAUUUGAGGGCUGUCACAAGGAAUACUAAGAUCAUAAUAUAUAUCAAAUAGAUAUGUUUAAAUAUGUGGUCGGGAAGUAAAAUAAUAUUAAUUAAAUUUUAUAUAUUUAUUUUUGAAUGUUCCCACACUCGGAUAAAAAUUUGUGAAAUUUAAUACUUCUGAUAAUAUAUUUAGAUUUAAAAAUUUAUUAAAUUUAUUUUAAUUAAAAAAAGAAAAUAACUAUAAAAUUUUAAAAUAUAUAAUAAAUAAGAAAUAUAUAACUUUUUCAAUAUCAAAAUAUUAUUGAGUCGUGCAACACCUAACUCUACAUUUCAGGUGGCAAUUUCGGGUAACGGGUCGUGUUCGUGUCAGCAACCGGGUCGAUUUUAAAUCAAGCUAAAAUCACUUAUAAUUGAAUAAAACUGAAAAUUAAAAUUAUUAAAAAUGAAAUUUCGGGUCACUUCAGUUCCAUUUCGGGUCAAUCGGGUUAUUUUCGUGUUACUUUUGGGCUUUCUGUCUCAGUAAAUCGGGUUUCGGAUCGUGUCUGAGAUUGCCGCAUUGCAUUAGUAUGAUAUUGUCCGCUCUAGGCCCUGGACAAGCCAAGGGUUUUAUAUCAAAUGGGCCACUCGUUCUACUCAAAAAUCUCACCUAGACCACCCAUUAAAAAACCAUAUCAUUUAGACCACUGAAUUGACUAUAUAUAUCAUUAUCUUUGAUAAUGUUAUGGUAAUUGACAUAAAACGUUAAGUUCUUAAACUUUCUAUCUCAAUUCAAAGUUGACGUGUUCAUCAACGUUGCUUCCGGCAUGCAUCAGACAUGGUGUCUAGAAAAAAAAAGAUAAACUAAAUAGAUUAAUCGGGCCAACCUAAUAAAAACAUGUAAGUAGAAUAAAAACCCUAAUUAAACUAUUCCUUCGGGAGAAAAUGCAUUUGGAGGUCAUAAAUUCGACCUCUCAGGUUUGAAUUAGGACAAAAAGUUUAAAAACUUAUCGAUCUGCGUCAAUUACCUUGACAUCAUCGAACGGAAUGAUAUAUAUACUCAAUUUAGUGGUUUAAAUGAUAUGAUUUUUUAAUGAGUGGUCUAGGUGAGAUUUUGGGACAGAAUGAGUGGCACAUUUGAUAUAAAACCCGACAAGCCAGUACGUAUUUGUUUCCGGCCCUUCCUAAAAGACCUCAUAGUAAUAGAGUUUUUUGACGGCUUAUAGUUAAGACAAAUUUUUUUUAUCUUUAACAGGGGACUUGGGUUGAAACCAUUCAACAAAUAUUAACUAAAAUGCUAGAAUUUCACAAAUUUUUAUUUGAUUAUGAUGAUAUUAAAAUUUUGUAUAAAAUUUAAUAAAUAUUAUUUCUACGUAUAUUUAGAGAUUUAUUUAAUAUCAAUUAUAAUUUUGGUGGUUCAUAUUAUAAUCAGAUGAAAAAUAAUUUGUGACUAACAACACGCAUCACUAAUAUAUUUUAGGGUAAAGUAAUAAUCAACUAACACCAUUUCACCCUUUCAAGUUCUCCUCGAUCCCAAAGUAUUCGUGGACAUUGUUUCAAGGUUGCUACCGCCCCACUCCGCUGUAGAAACUUUUUCUCUCCGCUGAUUUUAAAAUCCAGGUAAACUGUUUCCACAAUCCUUUCUGCAACUUGUUCGUUCUUUCAUAUGUCUGUUCUAUAUCAUUCAAAAUCAUCCACAUAUCCCUCCGUCCAAACUUUCAACAUUUGACUUUCAAACUCCCUGCAAAUAUAUCCGUAUCCGAUUCGAUUCAAACCGAAAUUUACACCGUUCAAUUAACAUAAACCAAACCAAACCAAUUUGAUCAAGUACCCCGGAGGUGUUUGAUGGAAUAACGGAGAGGAAUGAUGUUUGCUGUAUGGCAAUCCAUCUCUAGCCAAGUCAACCAAGCUCGUCCAAAUCAGGAGGGGAGUAGAAUCAAAUUCAUAUAGUGCACAGUAGCGUGCGGAGAUGACUCAUGGCAGGGGGAGAUGCAGUGAAGGGGGAACUCUCUCUUACAGGGUCAAAGAACGACUACAGCAGAUGUCCUGUUUAACUCUCUGAAGGGUCAGAUACAACAGUAAGAAGAGGGAUGAGAAGGGAAUAGAGUGGAUCUAGAGCUUGGGACGUUUUAUUUCGGACAUUAAGUGUUAUUGUCUAAACUUCCGGAGACAUUUUCAUGUCUUUCGGUUAGAUAAUAAGCUUUUUGGAUGAAAGAAACUCCUCGGAGUAGCGGCGUUUUCUCGAUACGAGCAAGUGCAUUUCUGUCAAAAAAAAAAAAAAAACUAACACCAUUUUAAUAUCCAAACCUGGCAUGACUUGAAACCGAAGUCACGCCCUUCUUCUUUUCUA